rnacentral:rRNA from 1 species
UGAAGUGUGGACGCCAGUCUGCAUGGAGCCGGCCUUGAAAUACCACCCUUUAAUGUUUGAUGUUCUAACGUGGACCCGUAAUCCGGGUUGCGGACAGUGUCUGGUGGGUAGUUUGACUGGGGCGGUCUCCUCCUAAAGAGUAACGGAGGAGCACGAAGGUUGGCUAAUCCUGGUCGGACAUCAGGAGGUUAGUGCAAUGGCAUAAGCCAGCUUGACUGCGAGCGUGACGGCGCGAGCAGGUGCGAAAGCAGGUCAUAGUGAUCCGGUGGUUCUGAAUGGAAGGGCCAUCGCUCAACGGAUAAAAGGUACUCCGGGGAUAACAGGCUGAUACCGCCCAAGAGUUCAUAUCGACGGCGGUGUUUGGCACCUCGAUGUCGGCUCAUCACAUCCUGGGGCUGAAGUAGGUCCCAAGGGUAUGGCUGUUCGCCAUUUAAAGUGGUACGCGAGCUGGGUUUAGAACGUCGUGAGACAGUUCGGUCCCUAUCUGCCGUGGGCGCUGGAGAACUGAGGGGGGCUGCUCCUAGUACGAGAGGACCGGAGUGGACGCAUCACUGGUGUUCGGGUUGUCAUGCCAAUGGCACUGCCCGGUAGCUAAAUGCGGAAGAGAUAAGUGCUGAAAGCAUCUAAGCACGAAACUUGCCCCGA